rnacentral:rRNA from 1 species
GAUGAACGCUGGCGGCGUGCCUAAUACAUGCAAGUCGAGCGAACAGACGAGGAGCUUGCUUCUCUGACGUUAGCGGCGGACGGGUGAGUAACACGUGGAUAACCUACCUAUAAGACUGGGAUAACUUCGGGAAACCGGAGCUAAUACCGGAUAAUAUAUUGAACCGCAUGGUUCAAUAGUGAAAGACGGUUUUGCUGUCACUUAUAGAUGGAUCCGCGCCGCAUUAGCUAGUUGGUAAGGUAACGGCUUACCAAGGCAACGAUGCGUAGCCGACCUGAGAGGGUGGUCGGCCACACUGGAACGGAGACACGGUCCAGACUCCUACGGGAGGCAGCAGUAGGGAAUCUUCCGCAAUGGGCGAAAGCCUGACGGAGCAACGCCGCGUGAGUGAUGAAGGUCUUCGGAUCGUAAAACUCUGUUAUUAGGGAAGAACAAAUGUGUAAGUAACUAUGCACGUCUUGACGGUACCUAAUCAGAAAGCCACGGCUAACUACGUG